CAUCUCAUGCUGCAGCCACCACCAUCAAGCUCGACCGCCACCAUCUCAACUGACCUUCGAUACCUCCCCCUUUACCAGAACGCUACAGUUAGAAGAAUAAACCAGUGGUUGUCGCAUCACCAUCUCUUUUGUGGUGGGCGGUUGCUGCAAAAUCGAGCAGCCAUCGAGUCACUACUGUCGUUGCUAUCACUCCCGGUGAGAAGAGAGGUCGGGUAAGGGAAUCAGAGCUGGGUGUUGCAGGAUGCCGUUACUGCUUUCGUUUCACAGAAAAGAAGUACCUCCUGCAACUCUUUCCCUUUUUCCUUCAUGUGCAAAAUGACGACGACCACCCAGCUGCCACUUGUUGUCGCCGUUGUGCGUUCCAUAGCUCAUUCCGUCACCCUCCUUCGUCGUUUUCCUCCUCUAAGACCGAAGUUGGUGUGUGUCCGUAUCUUAGCCCCUGUCGCCGUAUGUGUGCGUGUUCAGGCUUUAGCAUGAUUGUGUGUUUGUGUUUCGGCUAGCUGGGAGCUGAUGAGAACCACCAUGGCAGCCAACCAUGGUGGCUGCUGCCAUUUUCGUUUCUGUCAUCCCCGACCACCGCUAGCCGCCGAUGGGGGGUGGCUGUUUAUGUUUAGUUCUCAUAGGUGUGUGUUCAAUAUGGUGUAAUUAUGUAUGUGUAGUGGCAUGAUGUUGUAGGGGCGAUGCUAGACCAGAAAAUCCAUGAACAAACCCACCACCACCACUAUGAGGUGGUGGCUGCCACCAUCUGCCGCCGCCGGCCACCAUAGGGUGGUUAUGUGUGUGCAUGUGUGUUAUUAUUAGUGUGUGUGUGUAUUAUCUAGUUGUACAUUUUAAUGGUGCUAAAAUAAUAAUAGAAAUCUCAAACCACCACCGUAGGGUGGUGGCUGCCGUAUCCUGCCGCCACCGACUGCCGUGUCGGGUGGUGGUGUGCUUACCUUGUUGAGUUUGAUUUGUUUGGGGUGUUUGAAACCCUAAUGGGACCAAUGAAGCUUAAUGAAACUAAAAGCCCAAACAGAUGACUAAUGGGCCUAGUGAAACCUUAAUGGGCCUAAUGAACCUUAAUUGAUCAAAAGAUAUAUCAAUUGGGCCUAUUGGGCUAAAAUGGGGGUGAAAACCCUAAUUAGGGUUUAGAAAACCCUAAUAUUUGAUUUAUGGGCUUGGAAUUAUCGAGAUCCACAUUUAAGCCAUUGGAAUGGAAUUGUAUAUUAAGCCUAAUGACACCAUAUGACUUAUGUAGUAGAGUGAUGGACUUAAUGGAUUAAGUCCUUAAUGGGUUAAGUGAGAAACACUUAACCCUAGUUGUCAUUUUAUGUGAAACCCUAAUUUUGGGAAUUUGAUCAAGACCACACUUGAAUUAUUCGCUAAACUUAAUAUAUUAAUUAAUAACUAUUUGAAAUUAACCUAAUGCUAUGUGGGACUUAAUUGAUUAAGUCCUUAAUGGGUUAAGUAGGGACACUUAACCCUAAUCAUCAUUUCUUGUAAGAAACACUAAUUUUUAAGUGGGCCUUGAGUUGGGCCUUUCCAUUGGGCUUUGGAAAUUGGAUUAUUAAUGGGCCAUUCAAGAAUAAUCUUAUAGACUAGAAUAUGUUGAUGCGCUUAGGGUAAGGCCCAUAUGAAGGUUUGGGCCCAAUUUGGAAAAUUAGGCCAUAGAUGGGGGCCUUCAUGAUUAUGCGAUAUUGGGCCAUUAGAAUGUCGAAUGUUGGACUGGACUAAAUGGUUGGGCCUUAUGGUAAGACCUUAUAAAGGUUUGGGCUCAAUUCGGAAAAUUAGGCCAUGUGUUGGGCUUUGACCCAUAGCUGACUUUUAGGCCUUUGGUUUGGGCCUUAGGCUUGAAUCAAGCCAAGAUAAGGGUAAUGCAGUCUUUUACUCCAACAUGGAUUUAUGGACAUGUGUUGGGACCUAAUUAUUAAUUGGGUGAUGUUUUGAUAUUGACAGUUCGGGAAUCUGUCAACCAGCAGCUGGGAUUGUGUCUACGGGACUUCAGCAGUGUGAGGUGAGUUACCUUCCAGUAGCGGUGGGUCUACGGCUACAAUGCCAGCCCACCAGUAGAAGUUGUAUGUUAGAUGAUUGUCUUUGUGAUAUUCAUCUAGGUUUGCUGCUACCUGAUAUCUUUUAUGUUCUAGCAUGAUAUGAUGUUAUGUGAUAGUGAUGGUAGGGCGUGAAAUAGUCACCGGUUACCGGUGGAUAGGACCGAAGGGGUAGUUUAGUACCCAGCCAUGCUAGCCAUAUUAUGAUAUAUGUGAUAUGAUAUUAUGCAGUAGUAGUAGGGGGUGAAAUAGUCCCCGGUUACCGGUCGAUAGGAUCGAAGGGGGUAGGCCAAUACCUAGAUAUGCUAGGCAGUAUGUGAUUUAUGUUUAUAUGCUAGGUUUUUAUGUGGUAGUGGUAGGGGUGAAAUAGUACCCAGUUACCAGUUGAAAGAUAUCGAAGGGGAGGCCAUCUCCCGAUCACCGGUAGAGAGGACCGAAGGGGUAGACCAUAACCUAGAUAUGCUAGUCAAGGUCACCGGUCGAGAGGACCGAAGGGGUAGGUCGAGCACCCAAAUAUGCCUGGCAGUAUGUAUAUCAUGUGUUUGUAUGAUUUGUGGUACGAUGGGGGAAAUCACUAAGCUUCGUGCUUAUGGUUUUCAGUUUUGAUUUCAGGUACUUCGUUUUCAAAGGAAAGGAGCCGGCUUGACCGCAGCGCAUCACACUAUGGUUUUCCGCACAUGAGAUCUUUGGGAUUACACUCUUAUAUUGUUUUAUGAUAACAUGUUUUAAUUAUUUCUACUUUGGUUUUGACAUGACAUGAUAUUAUGGAUGUUUUAUUAUAAUGUUGGUUUUAUAAUAACGUAUUUAAAAAUGAAAUUUUUG
rnacentral:lncRNA from 1 species